rnacentral:rRNA from 1 species
UACGAAGGGGACUAGCGUUGUUCGGAAUCACUGGGCGUAAAGCGCACGUAGGCGGAUGUGUCAGUCAGGGGUGAAAUCCCGGGGCUCAACCUCGGAACUGCCUUUGAUACAGCACGUCUCGAGUCCGGAAGAGGUGGGUGGAAUUCCUAGUGUAGAGGUGAAAUUCGUAGAUAUUGGGAAGAACACCGGUGGCGAAGGCGGCGAGCUGGUCCAUUACUGACGCUGAGGCGCGACAGCGUGGGGAGCAAACAGG